GCAGCUCCUCCUUCCUCGGUCCUGGGGACGUUACAAAGCGCAUGCGCAGAUCCCCUUGGAAACGGUUGCCGGGAGGGGCGCUCCUGUCUCACGCACGCGUACACAAGGCGCGGGCUGUAGCCGCGGGGUGGGCAGACAAGGUAGAAGCUUACACGCCUUGGUCACGUGUCGGUCACCGUCAGCCUGGAGGCGGAUCGUCGUUAGUCAGUGCUGGGCCUGGGGCCUAGAGAGGAGCACCGGAGGGAAUGGUCAGUCGGGGAACGUGACCGAGCCCCGUAGUGUCGCCGGAGGCGUGAGGGGUCAGACCAGACUUUCAGCAGACUCGAGGCGGGGACCCUGGGACUAGCAAGUUACCCACCCAGCUGCCACCUUCCUGAGCGGGGAAUGGACCUUGUUCUCACCUGCGGGUUACGUUUGCUUUCCUCGUUGUGUGCGGCAGAGGUGAACCUGCUCAAAGCUUCACAGCUAGUUAGGAUCCGGGAAGACAAAGCCGCAGAGGCGUCCUCAAAACCGCGGGACAGCCGCGCUCUUCCUCAAACACUGCACUUUCCAGCUGUCUGGCAGCAGGCCAACGGCGGAGAGCGUAAGGAUUAGAAUAUUAACCAGAAGACCCUGGAAAUUCCACUAUUAACUUAAUGACUGGGGAACUUUUUCAGAAAAGGAAGAUUUUUAGAGCAGUGAUUGUUCACUCUCGGGAGAAGACAGGGUCUCACUACAUAGUUCAGGCUGGCCUUGAACUCACUAUGUAGCCCAGGCUGGCCUCGAACUCACAGUGAUCCUCGUGCCUCAGCCUCCCGAGUGCUGGGAUUACAGACGUGAGAUAGCACACCUGCCUGACAUGAUUUAAUUUGAAGAGGUAAAAUGGACAAAAGGUCACAAGGGAGAUCUCAAUGAUCCCAUGAUGCUGUAAUGCUCCAGGACAAGACCACACCUGCAGGAGACACCCUGGGAGGAACUAAAUCUUCAUCUGUGUAGUUCCUCAUUGUUCUUAGAUUUCCACCACCC
rnacentral:lncRNA from 1 species